AGCCUUGUUAGACGCUGACAUCUCUCUCACACCCACGAACACACACUGACAUCUCUCUCUAUAGAGACUCGAUAAAGAACCAACUCACCCAUUAAUCUUUCUAAUACACCUCUCUCUCUCUCUCUCUCAACCGCUCCCAUAACCGCACUUCUACAGUUUCACUCCACCUCCACUCCACAGAGAAAUGGAACAGGCUAAACAUCAGUCAAUGUUCCGGCCGCCGGAGACUCCAAGAGAGCCAAUGGAGUUCUUAUCCCGUUCUUGGAGUGUUUCAGCUCAUGAAAUCUCUAAAGCUCUUUCUCCUCCACUGCAUCUAGUAGGCACGAAUACCACAAAUCUUGGCGCUCCUCCACCUGGAGGCGGCGGUGAAACCAUUCAUGAAGAUUUCUCCGGCGAGUUGGAG
rnacentral:lncRNA from 1 species